rnacentral:rRNA from 1 species
AUUGAACGCUGGCGGCAGGCCUAACACAUGCAAGUCGAACGAGUGGCGGACGGGUGAGUAAUGUCUGGGAAACUGCCUGAUGGAGGGGGAUAACUACUGGAAACGGUAGCUAAUACCGCAUACCAUAAGAUGUGCCCAGUUGGGAUUAGCUAGUUGGGGGGGUAACGGCUCACCAAGGCGACGAUCCCUAGCUGGUCUGAGAGGAUGACCGGCCACACUGGAACGGAGACACGGUCCAGACUCCUACGGGAGGCAGCAGUAGGGAAUAGUGGACAAUGGGCGCAAGCCUGAUGCAGCCAUGCCGCGUGUAUGAAGAAGGCCUUCGGAUUGUAAAGUACUUUCGGCGGGGAAGCGUUACCCGCAGAAGAAGCACCGGCUAACUACGUGCCAGCAGCCGCGGUAAUAC